GAUGAACGCUGGCGGCGUGCCUAAUACAUGCAAGUCGAGCGAACGGACGAGAAGCUUGCUUCUCUGAUGUUAGCGGCGGACGGGUGGGUAACACGUGGAUAACCUACCUCUAAGACUGGGAUAACUUCGGGAAACCGGAUCUAAUACCGGCUGAUAUUUUGAACCGCAUGGUUCAAAAGUGAAUGACGGUCUUGCUGUCACUUAUAGCUGGAUCCGCGCUGCAUUAGCUAGUUGGUAAGGUAACGGCUUACCAAGGCAACGAUGCAUAGCCGACCUGAGAGGGUGAUCGGCCACACUGGAACUGAGACACGGUCCAGACUCCUACGGGAGGCAGCAGUAGGGAAUCUUCCGCAAUGGGCGAAAGCCUGACGGAGCAACGCCGCGUGAGUGAUGAAGGUCUUCGGGUCGUAAAACUCUGUUAUUAGGGAAGAACAUAUGUGUAAGUAACUGUGCACAUCUUGACGGUACCUAAUCAGAAAGCCACGGCUAACUACGUG
rnacentral:rRNA from 1 species